GCAAUCUCGUCCUUGGUCCAAAUGACAACUUUCCAGGCCAAACAAACAAAUGAACCAACAUAUUAGAAAGUCUGGUGAACGUAGUGGUGUAGUGGUGAUGUAGUGGUGAGUAGUGGUGAGUAGUGGUGGUUUAGAAGUAGUGUUGAAUUAUACAGUGAAGUUUGUUCAAUUGAUGCCAAUGCAAUUGAAUGUGCACCGCUUCUUUGAGCCUCUGUUGGCUGGCUAUGCUGGAGAGUAAGCUCGUGGCCUGCUGGGAUAUAUAUCUGGGAUAUCUGGGGCUUUGGAGCCGGAGCCUGACUGUGCUGGGACAUCUGUGCCUGGGAUCUGACUCUGGUGUCACUCUCUCUGCUGUCUCUCUGCUCUCUUUCAGGGCACACCUGGGAUAGGGAACUCAAUCGAAGAUGGGGAGCCUCAGUGUGAGGCCGCCUGUCCCGCCGGCCCUCAGGGGAUGCCAGGCAUGCCAGGGAUGAAGGGACAUAAAGGUUUGGCUGGUACCGAUGGUGAUCCAGGCACACCUGGAGAGAAGGGAGAUGAAGGACCUGCAGGAGAGGCAGGACCCCCUGGACGCAUGGGAGAUGAUGGUCAAAGAGGGCCUAUUGGAUUUCCUGGCACACUCGGAGAAAAAGGAGAUAGGGUAAGAGGCUGAACUGUGUCUAUAUUUACCCCACUCCCUUUGGGCAGGACAGGCCAGAUAGAAACACACACAC
rnacentral:lncRNA from 1 species